CAAAUAUGAGACGAUCAAUUCCAUCAUGAAAUCUUUUAUUGGUCAAAUAAUUUUAAAAAAAUCCUUAAAAAAUUUAAAAAUUUUAAAAUAUUUACUUGUUUUGUGGAUUUUAAUCAAAAUGUUCAAACAAGUUUGAUAUAUAAAUAAGAACAUAAUAAUUAAUUUCACUUAAAUGAGAUUAAAUCACAAAUCCAUUACACCAUUAUGUGAUUCUCAAACGGAUAUCAAACUUUCAAAUACAUAUAUAUGAAAACAGGAAGGAAAGAGAGAGGAGAGUAUCAUCAGCCGAACACAUUCCCUGCUCUUUUGAGGAUAAGAGUGAUAAGGGUUUCGUAAGCCUUCUCUGUAGGAUGAUAGCUAUCCCAGAAUACAUAUUUUGUAUCAUCUUUGCACGUUAAUGGGUCAACAAAGCGAUUGCAAAGGUAAGUCACCUCUAUUUUUCCAGUGCCGCAGCAUCCUUUUGUUGCCACUUCAAAUCCAUAUUUAGCAGGAUUUUGGAUGAGGGAAAUCAGUGGAUUGUAGACGUCAAGAUAUAUAAGAUUGGAAUCAGAAAACGUUGAAUUCAGAGCAUGGAUAGCAGAGGCUAGCUUGGAAUUGAAGAGGAUUGCAGCUUUAUUGGCAUAGUCUAGGCAUUUUCUUUUUAAGCCUCCACGUAUAGUUCUCUGCGAUGGUACACACCCUAUUGGUGGUAAGCUCAGUACUCCAAAUCUUCUUGCCCCAAGACCAUGAAGUUCCUGUCAACGAUUCUGCUCCUCAUUAGAUACACAGAACCAACAAAUUAAUUCAAAACUUGAUACUGAAUUUUAAAAAAUGUUUACUAAUUCAAACUUGAUGCCGAAAGGUUUUAUUAAUAGAAAAUGCACCUGCUUGGGUUUACCAUUUCAAGUGGGGCAUCUUCAGUGACAUUUAGCCAACUUCUUGACUUCACAUUUUACAUUAAUGGACCAAUAUUUAAUUAGAAUCCUAAAAAUUUCUAUAGUUGCAGCAACAUAAUUCUUCAUAUCGGUGUUUUUUAAAUUGACUCCAUCUAUGCAGUGGCUAAGCUAUCAAUAUAAUCAUUCGAAAUUACAAUUGGAUUAAUUUAAUUUAAAAUUUAUAUUAAUUAAAAUAAUUAUGAAUCAGACUGAAACUGACCAGUAUAAUUCAAUGUAAAAUUAAUUUUUUAUUUAAGAAACCUUUUUUUUUUAAAAGUCUAUCACUAAAUUUGAUUGAUAUUAGCUAAAUUGAAAUUGAAUCAGAACUAGGGUAAGGUCUAAAAUUGGGACCAAAAUGAAAUCUUUAAUGUACUCUUGAAUCAGAAUUAGUGAUUCCAUCUUGGAUUAAACCAGAUCACCAACCAAAUCUAAGUUUAAUUGAUUUGAUUUCAUAAAAAUAAUUUUUAAGAUAAAAUUUUUAAAAAUCAAAUUGAAUUUACUAGACUGAUUGAUGGACUGAUAAACGAAUCUUUAAGUUUCAUUUUACCAAACACCCUAAAUAAGCCACCGGUAGCUACCCACUUAAUUGGAAAGCAUCAUCAAGCUUUUCCUGUUAGUUAAUGAAAUGACCUGCUAGAUAGGCAAACUAAUAUAGUUUUGAAUAAUGGGUGCUAUGUUGGAGCUAGAUAUUUAAAAUCUAUUUUUAGACCAUAUAUAAUAUUUCUUUUAUUUACUCUAUUGUUCAAUUUUAAAUAUUAUAAUAAAUAAUAUAUAUCAGUUUUAUUUUAAACAAAUUAUUUAAAAAAAAUUAAUUGAAAUCUUACGUAAUUAUAUUUAAUUUUUAUUUUUUUUGAAAAUAAUUUUUUUAAGUUAAAAAAGAAUUAAAUUUUAAAAAUUGAUUAAAACAUUAAUGGAAUUGAAUUGUUCUAAAAUUUUAGAUUCCUAAUAAGGGAUUAUAACAAAGGUGAUCAUAUACCUUGAUAAAACUUGAAGCUAAGCUAAUCAAGAAAUCCGCAUAGGAAUCAAUGGUGUAGUGAAAUCGCCUAAAUGGAGUAGUAUAAUAAGUAGUAAGAAUAUCGUUGGUUCCUGUGCAGAUUAUGAAUAUGCCUUUGGAUACGAUUGUUGCACUUCUUUCUUCUCCGACUGCUGAAUUUAUCUUUUUUAUGUAAUCUUUGAACUGUUGUAGUUGAUCCGAUAAGGUAAAUGCUGGCUGCAUGAAUUCCAGAAAAUGGAAACAACCUAGUUAAUUAUAAUUAACAACAGAAAUUUAAUCGAAGUCUCGACACAGACAAGAAGGGAAGAGCGAAAAUUACCGGAAGUGAGGAUGUGAUAUUAUCAAAACCAUUACCGCCAGAGGCAAAGCAAACUCCAGUUAGGAGGUCUUCAGUCUGCAGGUUCGGAUCAAGAUAAGCCGGCAACAGUUUCUUUACACCAAAUGCUUCAGCUGAUGAAAAUUUUUGCACAACAUUUAUUUUGAGAGUAAACUUUCUUUAUGCAUAAAUUAUUUAGCGUUCAAUCACAGACUGUAUUUAUGAGACUAUGGCCUCAUUAAUUUGGUAUUCUGAUUCAAUGUCAAAAAAGCAUUUUUGAGAAGAAAUAUUAUUUUAGAUGCAGUUAAAAUAAUAGUUUAGAAAAAUUAUUUUUCUAUUUAAUGUUACCAUGAUAAAAAUAUUUUAAAUUUAAUUUUUAAUAAAUUUUUAAUAUUUUUUAAUUAAU
rnacentral:misc_RNA from 1 species